UACGGAGGGAGCUAGCGUUGUUCGGAUAUACUGGGCGUAAAGCGCACGUAGGCGGCGUCGUAAGUCAGGGGCGAAAUCCCGGAGCUCAACUCCGGAACUGCCCUUGAAACUGCAAUGCUAGAAUCUUGGAGAGGCGAGUGGAAUUCCGAGUGUAGAGGUGAAAUUCGUAGAUAUUCGGAAGAACACCAGUGGCGAAGGCGACUCGCUGGACAAGUAUUGACGCUGAGGUGCGAAAGCGUGGGGAGCAAACAGG
rnacentral:rRNA from 1 species